rnacentral:rRNA from 1 species
GAUGAACGCUGGCGGCGUGCCUAAUACAUGCGAGUCGAGCGAACAGACGAGGAGCUUGCUCCUCUGGCGUUAGCGGCGGACGGGUGAGUAACACGUGGAUAACCUACCUAUAAGACUGGGAUAACUUCGGGAAACCGGAGCUAAUACCGGAUAAUAUAUUGAACCGCAUGGUUCAAUAGUGAAAGACGGUUUUGCUGUCACUUAUAGAUGGAUCCGCGCCGCAUUAGCUAGUUGGUAAGGUAACGGCUUACCAAGGCAACGAUGCGUAGCCGACCUGAGAGGGUGAUCGGCCACACUGGAACUGAGACACGGUCCAGACUCCUACGGGAGGCAGCAGUAGGGAAUCUUCCGCAAUGGGCGAAAGCCUGACGGAGCAACGCCGCGUGAGUGAUGAAGGUCUUCGGAUCGUAAAACUCUGUUAUUAGGGAAGAACAAAUGUGUAAGUAACUAUGCACGUCUUGACGGUACCUAAACAGAAAGCCACGGCUAACUACGUG